rnacentral:misc_RNA from 1 species
GCUGCAUCCACAGUACCUGAAAAAUCUGAGGGAUACGUUCAAGUGUUCCUUGAUGGUGGACUAAAUCAACAGAGGAUGGGGAUCUGUGAUGCAGUUGUCGUUGCCAAAAUUCUGAAUGCCACACUUGUGAUCCCUCAGUUGGAAGUAAAUCCUGUUUGGCAAGAUUCAAGCUCAUUCGAGGAUAUCUUUGAUGUGGAUCACUUCAUCAAUGCAUUGAAAGACGACGUAGCUAUAGUCAAAGAGUUGCCUGAUGAAUUCUCUUGGAGCACACGAGAAUAUUAUGGCAUAGCUAUCCGACCUACAAGAAUCAAGACUGCUCCAGUUCAUGCUUCAGCAAAUUGGUAUUUAGAGAAUGUGUCACCUGUACUGCAGAGUUAUGGAAUUGCUGCCAUAGCUCCAUUUUCUCACCGACUGACAUUUGACAACAUGCCCAAGUACCUCCAACACCUACGAUGUAAAGUCAACUUUCAAGCAUUGGCCUUUGUUCCUCACAUCAGACAACUCGGGGAUGCCCUUAUCACUCGCCUUAGGUUUCCUCCUAGUGAAGACAACAUGGUUAGUAACAACUACCUUAGAGAGGUUACUGAUCUAAAGCCCAAACAAGGAGUUGGCAAGUUUGCUGUUCUUCACCUUCGCUUUGACAAGGAUAUGGCUGCUCAUUCAGCCUGUGAUUUUGGUGGCGGCAAGGCUGAAAAUUUGGCUCUAGCUAAAUACAGGCAAGUAAUUUGGGGAGGAAGGGUCAUCAACUCUCAAUUUACUGAUGAAGAAUUAAGGAGUCAAGGAAGGUGCCCAUUGACUCCCGAAGAAGUUGGAUUGCUGCUGGCAGCUUUGGGAUUUGACAACAACACUCGCCUAUAUCUUGCCUCCCAUAAGGUUUAUGGCGGGGAACGCAGGGUUUCAGCCUUAAGAAGUUUGUUUCCCCUGAUGGAAGAUAAAAAGAGCCUUGCUUCUUCUGAGGAAAGAGCUCUUAUCAAAGGAAAGGCUUCAUUAUUGGCUGCAGUUGAUUAUUAUGUUGGCAUGCACAGUGAUAUUUUUGUUUCCGCCUCCCCUGGAAAUAUGCACAAUGCAAUGGUCGGACAGAGAACAUACAACAAUAUGAAGACAAUAAGGCCAAAUAUGGCAUUGUUAGGCCAGCUUUUCUUGAACAAGACACUCACUUGGCCUGAGUUUCAAGAAUCAGUAAUUGAAGGGCACCAAAACAGACAAGGCCAAAUCAGACUCCGCAAACCCAAGCAAUCCCUCUAUACAUAUCCUGCUCCUGAUUGUAUGUGCCAAGCUUGAGAGGGCCUACCAUAUAGAUCUUUAUCACUAUUUGUUUGGACAUCAAAUUAUUGUUUAUUAUGCCUUAUAUUAUAGUUAUAAAUAAGAUGCCACCCCUUUUGUUGACUUGUAGGGGGUAAUUUAUAUUUAUGUGUCACCACGUUGAGAUUUUACGGUAGGGGUGGAAGGAAUAUGUUGUACAAUAUGUGUAUUACUCCUAUGAAGAGUGCAUAUACAGAUAGUAGUAUUCUAGUCUUGACAGAUAUAUUUUACUAUGUAAUGUCAGUUCUUGUAGUUUAUUCAAAAGGGUGGUUUGUUUCAUUUGGUUGAUGUAGCAGAGGUUGAUAAUAUUAUCAAAUGGCAGCUAGUGGAAU